rnacentral:rRNA from 1 species
GAUGAACGCUGGCGGCGUGCCUAAUACAUGCAAGUCGAGCGAACGGACGAGAAGCUUGCUUCUCUGAUGUUAGCGGCGGACGGGUGAGUAACACGUGGAUAACCUACCUAUAAGACUGGGAUAACUUCGGGAAACCGUAGCUAAUACCGGAUAAUAUUUUGAACCGCAUGGUUCAAAAGUGAAAGACGGUCUUGCUGUCACUUAUAGAUGGAUCCGCGCUGCAUUAGCUAGUUGGUAAGGUAACGGCUUACCAAGGCAACGAUGCAUAGCCGACCUGAGAGGGUGAUCGGCCACACUGGAACUGAGACACGGUCCAGACUCCUGCGGUAGGCAGCAGUAGGGAAUCUUCCGCGAUGGGCGAAAGCCUGACGGAGCAACGCCGCGUGAGUGAUGAAGGUCUUCGGAUCGUAAAGCUCUGUUAGUAGGGAAGAACAUAUGUGUAAGUAACUGUGCACAUCUUGACGGUACCUAAUCAGAAAGCCACGGCUAACUACGUG